ACUGAAGCCAAUCAAUUGUGUAAAAAUCUUGGGUGUGGUGAGUCCAUAUCCAACAAACCCAAACUGGAUUCUACAGUACUGACUCGUUUCAAAGACUCAGACAAGAUGAAGGUCGAGUGUAAUGGCAUUAAACAAGUAAAUCAUCUGUGGCAGUGUGUCACCGGGUUAUCAGAACAAUGCCGAAGUCCUGCUUCUGUCACAUGCAAAGAGUAUAAGAGACUGCAACUCCAAGGAGACAAUUCCAACGUGUGUUCUGGGCAGCUGCAAGAAGAGGAGGGUCUCGAAUGGAAAAAUGUUACAAAAAACAAAAUCAGUUCUGAUAUGUGCCAGAAUAUGCACUGUGGUAAACAGGUCUAUUCAUCUGACAAUGGCAUACUGAACUGCUCAGACAAUGUCACAGUGGUUCUGAUGGACAACAAUGAACCCAGCAAGUGCUAUGGUAAAGUGUAUGUCAAAGUGAAUAAUAAAAGUCAUCCCGUGUGUGCCUCCUCUUGGGAACUAAAGGACGCUCAAGUGGUUUGUAGCGCUCUUAAGUGCGGGAAAGUAAGUUUUCAGUAUCAUAUUUCAGUUGAACAAAUGAAAGAAGUCGAUAUAACUUUGACAAUUACAGGAAAAUGCCAAAAUGUAUCAGUGGCACAAGUAAACAAAGAGUCAUAAAAUCAACAAACUGACCCCAUCAAGUUAGUUACACGAAAAUGUCCUAAGUUUGCUAAUAUUGCCAAACAUUAGCCACAUUAACCCUUUGAAACCAGAGUAACUUGGCUGGCUUGAUUUCUUUAAAAACAUGGGGAGAAAGAAGAAGACAA